rnacentral:rRNA from 1 species
UACAGAGGUCUCAAGCGUUGUUCGGAAUCAUUGGGCGUAAAGGGUGCGUAGGCGGCGUGGAAUGUCAGAUGUGAAAUUCGGCGGCUCAACCGCCAAAUUGCAUCCGAAACCUCCACGCUCGAGAAUCGUAGAGGAGCUUGGAAUUCUCGGUGUAGCAGUGAAAUGCGUAGAUAUCGAGAAGAACGCUCGUGGCGAAGGCGAAGCUCUGGGCGAUUUCUGACGCUGAUGCACGAAGGCUAGGGGAGCAAACGGG